AUUGGAAACAGAGCAGAGCAGAGACUUGGGAGGAAAACUAACUAGGUCUCUCUCGCAUUAUCCUUUCCGUCGAACCGAAUCGAGGAGAGAGCGAGAGCGGACGGCGGCCAUGGAUAAUAUCGAGAUGAUCACCCUGGGUUUGGAGAUGGCGGACACAAGGAUCACCGGCCGGUUGUCGGGGUCGGCGAAGAGGAAAGCUGCGAGGAAGAAGAAGCCGCCGCCGUUGUCGGAUAGCGACAGGAACAAGCAGCAGCAGCGUCCACGCUAUGUGUAUGUGGCUGAGCCUCUGAAUGACGAGGAGCCUAACGAGGAAGACGAGAUUGUCGACUACCGUGAUCUCUGGGACUGCCUCUUCUCCGACCACUUCGGUUCCUUUGAAGACGAAACUUCUCUUGGUCCCAUGCGCCACACGUUUGGACCCAUCCCAUGGUACGCCGUCCCUGAUUGCACUCUGCAGAUCUUCUACAUCCGAGUCGCCGACAUCGACAGAGGCGGCCUCGAGUGGCCAUUGCACGUCCAUGGCUUCGUCGCCAGCAGGGACUCCAUGGACAACAAUCGCAACUUCCUCUUCAGACGCACAAGGGAUCACUGCCAAACCCUCACCCAGGAGAACCCAUGCUUGCUGUUAACUGGUCCGUCUCGAGCCAUUUUGCUGAUCGAUCCCGUCUCCUUCGAAGUUCAGCUCAAAGUGAAGAGCAAAACAGAGCCUGAACAGGAUGAGCUCUUGGCUUUCAGAAUCUGGCAGUUCCACCAAGCGUAUCAGUCUGAAGAGGUGCUCUCUCAGUGUGACCCUGGCAACUGCUGCUCGCUCCAGCUUGGAUACGCACCACUCAAGCCGUCGAUCGAGGCAACCGUCACUGUCCGACUCGUUGAUCAACAACAAGAAGAAGAAAAAGAAGAAGAAGAAGAAGAAAAGGAAGAAGAAGAAAAAGAAGAAGAAGAAGGGCCAUGCCAUCUUCUUGGAGGACUCCAUGUUACCUGCUGCACCGCCAGCAUGAAACAAGCGUCGAUGCUGUUCUUGCCGAGAUGGGAAAGUUCCCGUGGAUGCAAAAAACGGUCUGGUCGAGCUUUCGAGGCGUGUUGUUUCUGUGGAAUCAGGAGGGCAACUGCUGGUUUCUGUGGUGGCUACUCGGUCUCGGAUGGGUGUUGAAGAUGAAGAAGAAGGCAAUUCGGUUGCAAAGGAUACCGCUGUAUUUGCACAAAGGAAUGCUGGCAUGAGUUGUUGCAUGUGCGAUCUUGGUUUCUGCAAGAUGGAAGUCACUGUUGCUUGGUCUCUUCUUUCUACCAUCACAGACAUGUGGCUUGCCGCUGGCCACCACGACUAGCAAAUUUGCAAUGCCAAUGCAGCAACAAAUGUACAGUAGCAGAUAUCACGAUUACUUUGGAGAAGCACACAACACAGAUAAACUGAAACAAA